GAUGAAGAACGUAGCGAAAUGCGAUAAGUAAUGUGAAUUGCAGAAUUCAGUGAAUCAUCGAAUCUUUGAACGCACAUUGCGCCCGCUAGUAUUCUGGCGGGCAUGCCUGUUCGAGCGUCAUUUCAACCAUCAAGCCCUGUUUAGGCUUGUGUUGGGGCCCUGCGGUUGCCGCAGCCCCCUAAAUGCAGUGGCGGGCUCGUUGUCACUCCGAGCGUAGUAGCAUACAUCUCGCUCUGGGCGUGCUGCGGGUUCCGGCCGUUAAACCACCUUUUAACCCAAGGUUGACCUCGGAUCAGGUAGGAAGACCCGCUGAACUUAAGCAUAUCAAUAAGCGGAGGA
rnacentral:misc_RNA from 1 species